ACUUUGACCGUGCAAAGGUAGCAUAAUCAUUUGCCCUAUAAUUGAGGGCUAGUAUGAAUGGUUCGACGUAAGCAAGACUGUCUCUACAACGAUUUUUUAGAAUUUGAUUUUUAGGUGAAGAAACCUAAAUUUUAUUAAAAGACAAGAAGACCCUAUUGAGCUUUAAAAAAGUAAAUAGAAUAAUAAUACAUUUAAUUUAAAAAGUUUAUCUGUUUAAUAUUUUGGUUGGGGCGACUAAGGAACAUACGAAGCUUCUUUAUUUAUUAAAGUUUUACAAAUUUUGAUCCAAUUGUUUUGAUUAAAGAAAUUAGUUACCAUAGGGAUAACAGCAUAAUUCUUUUUAAGAGUUCUUAUCGAAAAGAGAGUUUGUGACCUCGAUGUUGGACUAGAAUAUCCUGAAGAUGCAG
rnacentral:rRNA from 2 species